CUUCUUUCACCAUUAAAUACAAAAUAAAACUUAUUCCCAAGAGUUUGGUAUGACCUCUGCAGAUAUGUCUUCCACGGAAACAAUGUAUUUACUUAACACAGAGACUCCAUAUGGUCUAUGCUGCUUUGAGUAGCAGCUAGGAUCAAACUCAGGCUAGAAAAAGGAGAAUACUGGUAUAACACACGGGAGACUGGCUUCACAGAAUAAGGCUUCAAAGGUACAAGUAAAACAAGAAUGGCCAUGACAACACUGCAAGUUACUUUUCAGUUAAGAUUCCUUUUACAUUACAGAUUUGCUGCAGUGAUUCCAAGAAGUCAAUAAAUAACGCUUUCAGAAAAGAAGAAAGUACUACAGUACUUCUAGAUUAAAUUUUCAGAAGCACUCUGGCUCAAAUUUCACCUUCACUGAAUAAAUGCCAGCUGAAAAAGAAAAACCAGCUUGAAAUAAAAUUGUGAAGAAAAGAAUAGUCACAAUAGGCAGAAGUGUUGCUUUAGAAUGUUCUGCCUACAUGAAAUCCAGACAUUCACAAAAUUCUUAAUGACUGCAGUUAUGGCAUUACAACCAGCACAUGUGCUUGCUUCCCAUUUCCUUGGAUAAUGCAAUUUU